ACAGGUCUGAACCUGUUCAAGGUCACGUAGUUCUCUUUGUUCUUUUUCUAACUGCGUAAUAGAUGACUCAUUCUGUUCUAGAAUUUUCUAACUGCGUAGUAGAUGACGUCAUCAGACAGGUUUGAACCUGUUCAAGGUCACGUAACUGCGUAGUUUUCUUUGUUCUAUUCCUAACUGCGCAGUAGAUGACUCAUUCUGUUCUAGAAUUUUCUUACUGCGCAUUAGAUGACGUCAUCAAACCGGUUUUGAGGUAGAGGAGUGGGGGUAACUGCGCAGUAUUUUCUGCCUAUAUAAGCAGCUU